rnacentral:rRNA from 1 species
GACGAACGCUGGCGGCGUGCCUAAUACAUGCAAGUCGAACGCACAGUUUAUACCGUAGCUUGCUACACCAUAGACUGUGAGUUGCGAACGGGUGAGUAACGCGUAGGUAACCUGCCUGGUAGCGGGGGAUAACUAUUGGAAACGAUAGCUAAUACCGCAUAAUAUUAAUUAUUGCAUGAUAAUUAAUUGAAAGGUGCAAUUGCACCACUACCAGAUGGCCUUGCGUUGUAUUAGCUAGUAGGUGAGGUAACGGCUCACCUAGGCGGCGAUACAGAGCCGAACGGGGGGGGGGGUCGGCCCCCCUGGGACUGGGACCGGGCCCACAGGGCCUCGGGAGGGAGCCGGAGGGGAACGUUGGGCAUGGGAGGAAAGCCUUCCGGACAACGCCGCGGGCGGGAAGAAGGGUGUCGGGUCGGAAAGCUCGGUUGUAAGAGAAGAACGGGUGUGAGAGUGGAAAGUUCACACUGUGACGGUAGCUGAACAGAAAGCGACGGCUAACUACGUG